rnacentral:rRNA from 2 species
CGAGGACAGUGUCAGGUGGGCAGUUUGACUGGGGCGGUCGCCUCCUAAAGAGUAACGGAGGCGCCCCAAGGUUCCCUCAGAAUGGUUGGAAAUCAUUCGAAGAGUGCAAAGGCAGAAGGGAGCUUGACUGCGAGACCUACAAGUCGAGCAGGGACGAAAGUCGGGCUUAGUGAUCCGGUGGUACCGCAUGGAAGGGCCAUCGCUCAACGGAUAAAAGCUACCCUGGGGAUAACAGGCUUAUCUCCCCCAAGAGUCCACAUCGACGGGGAGGUUUGGCACCUCGAUGUCGGCUCAUCGCAUCCUGGGGCUGAAGUAGGUCCCAAGGGUUGGGCUGUUCGCCCAUUAAAGCGGUACGCGAGCUGGGUUCAGAACGUCGUGAGACAGUUCGGUCCCUAUCUGUCGUGGGCGUAGGAAAUUUGAGAGGAGCUGUCCUUAGUACGAGAGGACCGGGAUGGACGUACCGCUGGUGUACCAGUUGUUCCGCCAGGAGCACCGCUGGGUAGCUAUGUACGGAAGGGAUAAGCGCUGAAAGCAUCUAAGCGUGAAGCCCCCCUCAAGAUGAGAUUUCCCAGUAUGUAAGACCCCUUGAAGACGACGAGGUAGAUAGGUUGGGGGUGGAAGUGCAGUAAUGCAUGGAGCUGACCAAUACUAAUCGGUCGAGGGCUUAUCCUAAA